CUACACCUUGGCCCUGCCACGCGCGCGGAGCCCUAACCUCGUGGGAGUUCCUCCUAAUCUCGCGGGAUUUCGGCCGUGGGCCAGCCUCUGCGCUCACCUGGAGCUUCAGUUCCCACUAACACCCUGGGCUCAGCCUUGGGAGUCUCCAGGUCUCGCGAGAACGGGGCUCUCGCGCUCUGCCAGCUGUGAGGCCUUCACUGCCGACCUAGGCCUGAGUCUCCUGUACCCUCCAAGCCUUCGCUCUCUUUAUUUCUUUGAACGCUCUUUCUCUUUCGGUCCCGGGCAUGGAAACACCCCGGGCCCUGUCCUGUCUACGCUUCCGUGUGCAGCUCCCGGAAACUGGAAGCAGGCCUGAGGGGCCGUGAGAGGGCGCAGGAUCGCGGGACCGCGGGCAGCCAUCUUGAAUGAGGUCUAGGGGGAAGUUGCAGAUCUAGGCUCAACCAGCUUUUAGUGAGCAGGUGAUGACAUGGUGACGUCGAUGUUACAAAAGGUUUUGAAGACCAUCUGACGAAUGAAGACCUGGGGAAUGCACAGAAUGGCUUCACUGAAGCUCCCUGAGCAGAUCCACUCCUGCAACAUACCACGAGUCCUGACUGUAGGAAAAGCAUCAUGCUAGGUAUGCGGAUGAACAGAAGACCAUAAAAGUCAGGGCCAUAUGCUUGGGACAUGUGAAGGUCGACAUGUAGAAGGAACAAAAGGAACUGACCCAGCGCAGAGUGGGAGGACUGAAAUAACGAAGCAUGUAGUUUACAGAAGAGAAGGAGCAAGCAAUUCUGAUACAAACAAGGGAAAUGAAGCCCAAAAGAGUUUUCUACCCAAGGAUGGAUAAGAAAUGACCCUAGAGGCCUUCUACUGCAGUGAUAAUAGCUGCCCCCUUUAAUCUUUCCAUCAAUAUUUGGAAAACUUCAUUUUCAAGCUCACAACCAAGUAUCCUUCCACACCCAACCAACAGCACCAAGAAUAUAUUGUGGGAAAAUGCUGGCUUGUCCUAGUUCAGUGACAGAGGAGAAAUUUGUCAUUAUUUAGAAGGCAUCAGAUUCAGCAGAGGCAGACAUGAGUCUACCUGGAACCAGAUCCCAACUUUAGCCACUAGCUAUGAGACCUUGGGCAAGGUCCUUAGCCUCUCUUAAGUCUUGGCUUCCUUCUCUAUAUAAUCAGAAUUAUCAUGAUAGGAAAACUAAUAGCAUCAGCCUAAGAAGGUUAUUGAGAGGAUUAAAUGAAGAUAGUGUUCUGCUUACCACAGUGCUUGGCACUAAUGAACACUAUAACUAAGAGCUUUUGCAAGCUAGGUCUUUGUAUUUCCAAACUUCCCCACAUCUACUGGCUUAUAAAUUAGUCCCUCCCCGCUCAAUCCCUUGAGGAAGGCAACAACAUACUAUUAUUUUUGUCCUAACCCAACACUGUAUGUUGCAGGCACAGGGCAUGCUCAUGAAGGUUUGUUGAGUGAAUGUAUUCAGUAAAUGGUGUUUCAUUAACAAAGAAGAGUUUUUCAGGUGAAUGAUGGGAAUCAGACAGCCACAACUGCCUGGUUUCAAACAGACUCUUAGGUAGCUAACAAGGGGUGAAUCUGACAAUAAAAGUUCUUAAAUUCCUUUCAUACAUGCAGCCACCCUUCUUAUUCCCCAUGGUUAUUUCUUUCUUCCCUCGAAAGUCAGUAGAAUGAGACCAGGCAGUACCCUAUAUUUUUCUCUCCCAGAUCUUGUAAGUUUAAAUUGUAAACGGUCAUUCUUACGGUUUCCCAUUUUCUUCUAUCUCCUUCAGUAAUUUAGGCCUUGACCUUGACUUUAAGUAGAGACCAGCACAUUAGCUGUCCUAAGAGCUGAUUGAAGUCGCAGGCACUCAGAAGGGAUGUAUCAGGAACUGCUAGGGGUACAGGAGCUGCUAAGGCGAGGUUGUUAGUUCCAGCCCCGAUGUAACCAGCACUUUCAGUGCCAAGGAAGAAGAUUCUUACAGGCUGUAUUGUGUCCCUCAAAAUUCAUAGGUUCAAGUUCUAACCCCCAAUACCUAUGAAUCUGACAUUUGGAAAUAGUAUCUUUAAAUUGGUUAUGAAUUU